rfam:Grimontia sp. AD028 Contig30, whole genome shotgun sequence.
UUGACCCUGGAGUGUGCGUCAGCGGAUCCGCGUCCCUGAGCCGAUAAGCACAUCUAAGGGUGGGAUGUUACAUGCUUUUGAGCAAGCUCGGCUUGUACCGAGAAGCCUACGGUAUGUUCUUCUCAUCCGCCUUGAACCGCAGGGUUCAAGGGCAAAAGAUCCCAACGGCACUCCGGGGCCAAU